CCCUUAGAUGUUCUGGGCCGCACGCGUGCUACACUGAGUAAAUCAAUGGGUAAGGGAACACGAAAGUGCAACCUAAUCUUGAAAUUUGCUCGUGAUGGGGAUCGACGGUUGCAAUUUUCCGUCGUGAACGAGGAAUACCUUGUAGGCGCGUGUCAUCAUCACGCGCCGAAUACGUCCCUGCCCUUUGUACACACCGCCCGUCGCACCUACCGAUUGGAUGGUCCGGUGAAGCCUCGGGAUUGUGGUUCUUGCCGCUUUAUUGUGGCGUGACCGCGAGAACUUGUCUAAACCUUAUCAUCUAGAGGAAGGUGAAGUCGUAACA
rnacentral:rRNA from 1 species